UGUGACACAUUUUUAGCAUUGCAGAGAGUGGUGCACGUUCUAAUCAUUGCUAUGCAGCGCCCAUCAGAAAAAUGGGGAGCUCUCACUCAUCUUUGAGAGAUGCUAAAAGUAGUUGUCAAGCACAUGGGUAGAGAUUAUUAGGGAGCCGUCCAUUUUCGAGGUAGGCUAUGUUAUGACGAUCCAAGCAAACAUCGUUCUUUGUGAUGCAAAAAAUGCUACAUAUAAGAGGGUAUGGAUUCUCUGUGCAUGUUUUGCACCGUACAAAGCUGUCCACUCUUUGACGGCUAUACCACAUGAUCAAUGUGGAGAUAGAUGAUGGUUAAACAUGGCACGAUAUAUCUUAUCGAAUUGCAUGGCAUAAAUGCAGCACACCCAUUUAUGCUGUUUGACAACCACAUCUAUCUUUACAUUUGGAUGACAUGGUGGCCAUCGAUGGAAAUGUAGCUACUUGCAAUGCAAAUCAUGCACCGCAGAGGACCUCAACUCAUGUAGAGGAUCCUAGGUCCAUUGUCUCUAGAGAGGUUUAGGGGAAAACAUAACAUAGCCUUGCCCACCUUUACAAUAUUACAUUAUCAUUAUCUAGGGGAAAACAUAACAGAGCCUUGCCCACCUUUACAAUAUUACAUUAUCAUUAUCUAGUGGAAAACAUAACAUAGCCUUGCCCACCUUUACAGUAUUACAUUAUCAUUAUCUUGAAUUAGAGAAAUAUUUUGCAAAAUUUUGUUUAUCAAUUUUCAAUCUCCAAGUUGUCGUGAACUUUCGGUCCAAAAUUUUAUAACAAGUAUUGUUAUUUAAUGAAAUAUGCUGCGAAAGAUAUUAAAACCUUGUCUUUGCUUGAUCCAUAUUUCUCCCGCAUGAUGAGAGUCAAACUAAAAUAAUUAUUUUUUAAACUUAUGUGCUGUCGUAUUUUUCAUUCAACUAAUUGCUAGACAUAAUAUAAUAAGUGCAAUAAUCAUAUUAUCAUACUAGUUAGAGCUGGGAAAUCAAAUAAUCAAUU
rnacentral:lncRNA from 1 species